GUUCUUCUCCGAGCCGGGCAGCCGGCGGUCCUCAGCCGCCCACAGAACAGGAGCCGAAACAACCGUUCUCGAAGGCUACAGCGUUUAUUUUUCUCUUUUGGGGGGUUUUGGCGGUUGUUUCAGGGGCUCGCCAACUGGCCCCUUUAAUUAAAAGCUUCAAUAAAAGGCGAUCGCGCCAGGAAUGCACCCGCUCCUCUUCGCGCAGGAUUUGCAUAUUUUUUUAAUGCCCUAAUUUCCUUGAUGUAUGUAAAUGUAGCCGGACGUAGAGGGAGACAGGGAGCUGACGUCAAUGGACGUGACCUCGCAGCUAAACCUUGAACGUGAAGCCGGGAUGGGGGAAAACACGGAGCGGCAGCCGGCGGAGCCCGAGAGCGCGGGCGGCGGCGGCAGUAGCCGAGCCCAGGCCGGGGUGCCAAGGGACCAGUGCCGGCCCCGGGGGAGGACAAGCCGCCGCCUUCUUUCUGCACCGCGCGGCUCUCAGACUCGCCAGCCUUCCGGCCGCACACGCAGACUCUUGCCCUGAGCUUCCAGCCCCACCACACACACGUUCUUUUGCUUCCCUCAGAAAAGCAACACUCCCCAAAACAACAAACCAAAAUCAACAGAUAAAACAGAUGUUUUAGACCAAUGCUCGGGUAGCUUAUCAGAAAGAAGACUCUGACCACGGAACAUAUAUAUUUUUUGGCUUCUCUCCACAAGAAGAGGAGCGAGAGACCACAGACAACAGCAAAUCACUCCUAAAACACGAUAACUACAAGUGCUCCCUGUAGGGAGAGGUAAAUCGCCCAGCCGACUGGUGAAGUCUUCUGGUUUCGGUACCUAUUUACCUGUGCACUCAUUAUGCGCCUCGGCUUCAUUAACGGCAGGAUCAUGAGCGCGCGUUUUAAUGUGAUGGGAGUGCUGUGUUGUGUGUGUGUGUGUAUGUAUGUAUGUGUGUUGGGAGGUGCUUGCGCUAGUGAGCACCGAGGCAGGCGCUCUGAGCAGAGAGAGAUCAGUCUUUCCAUGGCCACGUCUGGGACUCAUCUGCGGAGCCAUCUAGGCCAGGGCUCCUAGAUUGGGGUUCGACUUCACCCCAUGUAAAAAGAGAGGCCAGCAAAGGCUUCCCCUGAACAGCCAGGUCCUUCCCAUCGGAUUGUUUGAGGAAGGAGGCUUGAAGUGUGAGCCAUUCUGUAGCCGCCGCCUUGCCGGAUUUGGCCUGGUGUUUUGCACUUGAAACUCAGCGGCCUCAGCGCGGAGGUAGUGCCUCUCCGAGACGCGGCCGAGGCCUUGUCAUUCCCCUCCUUCCGCCCGCGGCAGCCCUGCGCGCCGGCGUGUGCGUGCCCGCGCACCGGACCGCUGGCACCUCCCUGUGCACAUCCGCCCCCUCCUCUGCUCGCCCCCUCCUCUGGGGCAGCUAAGAAAUGGUCCUCGGCCUCUUCUGGGCCGGAGGGCAGAUCUACGAGCAGGCAAGAAAGGGGCGCCGGUGGCUGUGGUGGCGACUUCUCCGCUCUGCCCUCGGCCGCCAAGUGUGCCGUUUCAUCGUUCCACCUCGCAGCCCCAGCUUUGUUUUCCUGACAUGUUCGUGGCCAUUGGGCCCCACGCCUGCGAGGGGAGUGUGUGCGUGUGCGCGGGGGUCGGGCGCGCGCGGCGGGUGGGGGCUCUCCCGCCAAGGACACGCAUGGCUGUCUGUCCUCCGGCUGCACUUGGCGGGAAAGCUAGGGGCCGCCGGCGGGGCUGAGCGCCAGCGGCUGUCAUUACCGCCUCCCUGCUCCCCGCGGGCUGCAUUUACAUACGGGCCACUCGUCUGAAUUUUUACGGCACUCUUCCCCCUCCCGUACCCGGUCGCACGCGCGCAGGCUCGGAACUACCACCCCGGCACGCAGACACCCGCGCCCAGAAUGCGGCCAGCCCCAGGCGCGCAAACAGGCCCACAGGGGCCGACGGCACUCGGCGGGACGGAUUCCUGCACCGCCUCCCCGCACCCCCGUGCCCACACCCCUGACAGCCUCUCCGCUUGUGUUGCAGGAAGCCCACCUUCCCCUCGAAGCCCCCACCCUUCUCUGUCUGCAUACUUCCACCCCCACCCUCCCACAUCUCUCCGUCUCUCUUUCCGUGGAAGGCAGACGCGCGCGCGCGCGCGCACACACACACACACACACACACACACACACACCCGCUUUUUCUUCCUCCUCAAAUAGAUGACCCCUAUGGCGCGUCCCUGGUACAUUUAGAAUACCUCUAGAGUUUAGAGAAUAAAAUUCUUUAGAAUGCAUUGCUUGUCUUUAGCUAAACACAUUUAACAACCACGACACAAACGGGGAGGAGUGAAGAAGGGGGACUUGAACCAAAAGACCUUUAAAAAAAAAAAAGUCUGCGAGUCAAAAGGUCAUUCUCCAAGUUUGUAAAUAAAAUUGCAAAGGGAGUCCUUAAGAAAGGAGAGGAAAGAAGGGGAAGAAGGUUAGGAAGACUCACAAGUUACAUAAAACAGUGCAUUGGAAAAACGACAGGGAGAUUCUGUAAUAAAAAAAAAAGAAGAAUCUUAAGAAACCAAGAGAGAGAAAAAAAAACUGGAGGAAAAAAGAAAAAGAGAAGAAAAGGAUUUUAAAAAAAAGAAAAAAGCAAAAGAAGUUUCCAAAGAAAUGUGUGCUUUGCAUCCUACAAUAGGAAAAUGUAGCCAUUGCCUUCCUUCAGACGAGACAUUUCUAAUUUGUUCCGUCUGUCAGGAGGGGACUAUGAGAGGUUUGGGUGCAAAUUCAUUAUCUCUGGCAACGCAGAACGUAGUGUGGGGACUGAAAAAGACCGUGGCAAUGGAUGAACAAUAGGGCUUCAGUUCAUCAGUAACAAAAGCAGUGGGGAAAUUGGUUGAGUUUCAGAGCACGUCCUCCUCGGCAGAGGGGGCUGGACUAGACCUUGGACAGCCCCCCCAAAAACUUGCCAAGCCUCGCACACACCACUUCACUCUCCACUCCGAGGCUCAGGGAGCAAGUGCCUGGCAUGGGGGACGCCGAAAGAAGCCUGUUUGUGUGCUGCGGCCGUGCUGUGACUUUGGAUCUUGUCUUUCAGCCGGCGCCUCGGUUCCUGCCCAGCUGGAUUUGGGGGGCAGCAUUGCCUGGCGCAGGGAGAUCAAAUGAGACUGCAAAGAAGCAUAAAAUGAAUAGACAAUCCAACCAACCAAAGACCGGGGGCAGCAGCAGGCCAGCAAGACGGCAUCUUCUCCUUCCCAGCCUAGAAGCCCUGUGAAAUCGAGGAUCUUCCCCCUAAAACACAUACACACAAGAUAUGUGCAAUCAAGCUGCCACCGCUUGGUAAAAAGCCAUGGUGCCUAACCAAAAAGGAUCAGGAACAGAUCCUUGAAUCAGCUGUCACUUCUAUAGAAUGGGAUUUUUUUUUCCUUCCUCCUUAACCUGCGCUGGAAAUUGCCGUUGGCUUUAUACAUCUCUAUAGAGAGAGGCUAAAGAGUCUUGCGUGAGAAAGAAGCAAUUUACAAUGCAAAUAGAGGCCUGUGAAGGGACGGAUGCUGCUGCUCACUCGUAACAGCUUGCUGCACCUUAAUAGCUGGUUUUAUUUUCUGAUAUUAAUAGAUGAAUUGUUGGCUAACGCUGCCGGAGAUUACUUGCUGAAAGGAAAAAGAAAAGUUCGGAAUAAACUCUGAAGGCAACAGAUCUCGUUUGGAUGUUUUAGCCGCGCACACACACAAACAGAAACCAGGUCAUAUUUACAUAAAAGGAGGAAUCUUAAGCGCGGCAAGUAUCCUGGACGACCACUCUUCGGUACUGCCAGAAAGGAUCAGGACCUGGAGUCUGGCAAGAGGAAGACAGAGGCCUGUGUGGGAAGCGAGUUGUUAUCUUUGGUUAUCUAGCUGUAUGAGUGUAUUGGUCUUCAUAAAGCUAGAUAACCGAAAGUAAAAACUCCUUCAAGAUCGCCGGGGAGCGUGUGAGAAUGAAAGACUACAGCCGAGAGACAGUAAAAACCAGAAAGGUCAGGAAUACUUAUUGAAUCUAACUUUGUUUUUGUUUUGUUUUUUUCCUUAUGAUUAAAGGUGGGAUGAGAGAAAAUUAAAUGACACACACAUGCUAAAAUAUCAAGGUUCCAGAUAUGUCUUGAGAGGGGUUGUUGCAGCUGCAAAGGAGAAGUGUAUAGUGAUAAUGAGUAAAGAUGCAUGUGCAGUUUGUUCUAUUUUAAGGCAAAAGUUAUAUCAGGGAUUUUUUUCUUAGAAAGGUGUUGCAGAGAUGUCUGGUACCUAGUUUAAAAAUGAUUCCAUAAUAUGUAGACUUGGGCAGUUCCUUUGGGAGGCACCUCCCUCUCAAAAUUUGAAGAUUGUGCUUGGAAAUUACUUUACAUGUAUUUGGGCUGUAUGUCAAUUUGUACGAAAUUAGACUUUCAGAAAAGUUUAUACUGGAAGGUUAAUAAUUUGUAUCUACUGAGGACUUAGAGCUAGCAGGCAAAAUGAAAAAAAAAAAAAAAAAAGCAAGGGCUGAUUUUUAUUCUUCUAUUCAAAAUACAAGGACAGAUGCUUCUCUGUUCCAAGAGGGUUUCCUUGAGGAAGCUACUGAAGCAGAAAGACAUGAUGGAGACGAGAUCGCCUCCCCUCUUGUCAAAGUGUUAAAAAAAUGUUCUGUCUUACUCUGCGCCUAGCAUUGGAAAUGAAAGUGACAUUUACGCCACAACCCACGUGUGCGCCUCCUCUCUUUUUGUUUAAGGAUGAUCAGGUCUAUCCAGGAAACAGCUCUGGCAUCCCAAACUGAAAUAAUUAGGACGUAUAUAGACCUGACAAAAAUGGAAAGGGGGUGGGGAAUCUGAGGGUCUGUCUUGCCUAAUUGAUUCCGCUAAACGGAAUGCAGGAGAUGUGAACGGCAGGACGCUCCGAUUCCCACGCUCGGGGGCAAGUGAUAAAGCGGGGCCGGGCAGCCUAUGACAGACAGCCCUGUUGGGGGGUGGGGGUAUGAAAAAAACAUCAAGUGCACACACCAUACUCAUCUCCAUCGCUUAAGAAAGUAAAGGCAUUUCCCACCCACAGCCAUCUGCAGCUUCCCAAAUGGCAGCACCAACUGGUCUGUAGCUGCUACAUAGUCUGCUUCUGUUAAUUUUUUAACCACUGUUUAAUCUGGCCAUAAUUAAGUUUGGCUUUCUUCGUUGUUUGAGAUUUUCAGAAUUCAAGGCAAGCUAGUAGAAAGCAAUUCCAAGAAAGUCCCAUGACUGCCUGCCCCUAAUGUCAAAAUCUCAGUCCAUGAGAUUAUGGCCUUGUGACCACAUUUUUGCUUUUGUUUUGGGUGGGCAAAUGUGUAUAGAGAUAAAAUACAUAUCUCUAUAUAACAGUCGUUAUUAUAAUUUCAUGAGGCUUUUUACCUCUUAACAUGAUACAUCUAGGAACUUGGUCUAAUUGUGCUAGUAGAUAUACACUAGAAGUAAAACUAUAAAGUCAUUAGCCUGUAGAAAGUUGAUUAUGAUAACAAUAUGAUAAAAAGUUUGUUUUGGAAUAGUCUCAGCUAGAUGGGUCUAAAUAGCCAUUUUAAUGUAAUCUAAAAAUAACACUAUGCCUAGCAGAAACUUUGGCGCUUUGGAGGUCCCCAUUGUCGCCUUUUCAUAAAAGUCCUUAAGUUUUCCAUAUGUCACCAAGCAAACAUUUGUAUAGGCAUUUACACAGAAAUAUAACCAUUGCAAUUAGAAAAUAUCCAAAAUAGCCUGUUAUCUUCCACGUGGCCUAGAUUAUUGACAAUCCCAAAUAUACAAUUUUUCUUUAAAAGUAGUACAAUUUCCUUUGUAGCUUCAAUUCCUUAUAUGACUUCAGACUGGAGAAGCCUGUUAAACCACUGUUAGUUUCAGUUAGAAAGUCUGAGAGACUUUAUACAUAAAUUCUCAAUUUGGCUGCUGUACACGUGCCAGAGUUUUACUACUGUAGUGACCGUUGAGAAGACCCUUGUUUAUUUACAUUUGAAGCACUGUUUGUGCAAACAACCUUUCAUUGUUAAGUGCCUGUAUUCCUUUCAUUUACUUCAUGUCCAGGGGUGCUAUUUACCUAGAACCAUUGUCUACUACAAUUAACAUUUACAUUACAAAGUGUGUGGUUUUCUUUUUCAAGGAGGUUCAAUUAAGGCAAUAAGAUGUUUGCUGGAGAAACCUAUUGUUUACUGAAAGCACUCAAUGAAGUCAAAUUACUGAAGCUUUUGCCUACAUCUUGGUCUUUUAUGUAAAUAUGUUAAAUAUAACAUCUAAGGAAAAUAAACAAUAUUAUAAUUAUGUGUUUGCCAUUGUCAUAUCAAACUUGCUUUGUAUCAUACUAAUGUUACAUAACUUAUCGAUCAAUAAAAAUACAUUUCAAUGUUAUUAUUUUCAUUUUAUUUUUUGCUGUUCCACUGCCCUUGGUGCAACAUGUCCCAAUUUUUCUUUUUUCUAUUACACAUCAAACUUCUGAC
rnacentral:lncRNA from 1 species